rnacentral:lncRNA from 1 species
GAAGCUUCCCUAAUAUCCUACCACAUAGGUACCCCUGAGAAAGCCCUGCCCCCUGAGAAACUGAACUGAUGUUCAAGAACCCACUGCCCAGAUGGAGGUCAUGGACAGGGAUGGGUGAAAACUUUCAAAAGAACUGUCAAAAGCCCAUGAAAUCAGCCGCAUAAAUUGUAACAUACUGUGCUAUGACAGUAGAGAGACUGCAAAUUUUUCAUCAACAUGGAAAAGAAAAACAAAGAAAACGCCUGAGCCUUGGGUACCUUGUGGGGGAAGAAGCCCGUGUAACUGUAUGGUACAAAUGUGCCCUGCUGAGCAAGUGUCCCGAUCAGAGCCAUUCUCAUACUGGGCAUGGGGCUGGCUUGUUACCCUCUGAGAAGUGGGUGCAUGGAGGUAGGAAGGAGACUGUACUUGGC